rnacentral:rRNA from 1 species
CGACCUUCGGGAGCUUGCACAGGUGCUGCAUGGCUGUCGUCAGCUCGUGUCGUGAGAUGUUCGGUUAAGUCCGCUAACGAGCGCAACCCUCGUCGUGUGUUAUACGUGUCACACGAUACUGCCGGUAUCAAGCCGGAGGAAGGUGGGGAUGAUGUCAAGUCAGCAUGGCCUUUAUAUCCUGGGCUACACACACGCUACAAUGGCAGAUACAAUAGGUUGCGAAACCGCGAGGUGGAGCCAAUCCUCAAAGUCUGUCUCAGUUCAGAUUGUAGGCUGCAACUCGCCUGCAUGAAGUUGGAGUUGCUAGUAAACGCAGGUCAGCUAUACUGCGUUGAAUACGUUCCCGGGUUU